rnacentral:lncRNA from 1 species
UCUAACUUUAGGAUGCAGGGAUUUCUUCUCCACAGACUCUGGCUGAAUGGAUUGUUUGGCAAUUUCACAGUGAAUAUCCAUUCAGAAAAUGAAUUUCCAGCAGUGAAAAUCAGUGUGUUGCAGCCAAUCAACCUAUUACAGCAGAAACCCAGAUGAAGAAAAACAUUACAAGGCAAGUGGUACCAUAACUGAUGAAUAAUAAUGUCAAAUAAAAAGGCUGAGAAUUGAGUAGUGCAUCCCCUGAAACCUCAAAAACAAAAUUCAUUAUGCUAAGAAAUUAACCAAAUGCAUUUGUUAUUUUGUAAUAGAAACUUGCACUUGGCUAAUUGAAGCUCUCACUAUCUCUCUUUCCCACAGAGCCCAUGAAAUAUCAGAAGUGACUAUAGGAUUAUGGAUAACCAAUAUAAUAACAUCAUAAAAAAGAAGGAAAUGGCAAUUGAAAUUCUUUUGAAGAUUCUGAAAUCUAAUGCCACUUAUCCCCUACUGCCUCUCUGCAGAUUCCUAAUGCUGUUCUUGUGGGAGGACGAUCUACUCAUGUGUAGCUGUCAGCGUUCUUCGCCUGUUACUCUGGGAGCAGAGAGCCAGGAGGUCACCACUGAUCUGCCAUUUUCCACAAGUUCUCAGCAUAGUCUCGAAAGAUGUUCAAAUAUGGACUGCAUUGUACAUUUGUAA